GACGAACGCUGGCGGCGUGCUUAACACAUGCAAGUCGAACGGAAAGGCGCUGCUUUUGUGGGGUGCUCGUGUGGCGAGCGGGUGAGUAACCCGUGAGUAACCUGCCCUUGACUUUGGGAUAAAUUCAGGGAACUGGGACUAAUACCGGAUAGAUGCUCCUGAUGCAUGGUGUGGGUUGGAAAGUUUCGGCGGGUGGGGAUGGACACGCGGCUUAUCAGCUUGUUGGUGGGGUAGUGGCUUACCAAGGCUUUGACGGGUAGGCGGCCUGAGAGGGUGACCGGCCACAUUGGGACUGCGAGACGCCGCAGACUCCUACGUGAGGCAGCAGUGGGGAAUAUUGCACAAUGGGCGGAAGCCUGAUGCAGCAAUGCCGCGUGCGUGAUGCCGGCCUUCUGGUGGUAAACCGAUUUCGCCUGUGACGAAGCGUGAGUGACGGUAAUGGGUAAAGAAGCACCGGCUAACUACGUG
rnacentral:rRNA from 1 species